AUGAUUAUGCUUUCAAGGAUCAUUUUUGUAGUUUCUGUCUUGGAAAUGUGAUUUGCAAGUGUUGUGUCUCUCUAAUCACAAUGAUGAGUUUUGAUGCACUCUUCUGAACAUGAAUCAGGUUUUAGUUAAUGAUAUUUCUUUGGCUUUAACUAUUGAUGAAUGUUCUGUACUUCUUAUAGUGAGGAAGAGUGCAUGAUCAGAGUGAU